rnacentral:rRNA from 1 species
GAUGAACGCUAGCGGGAGGCCUAACACAUGCAAGCCGAGCGGUAUUGUUUCUUCGGAAAUGAGAGAGCGGCGUACGGGUGCGUAACACGUGGGCAACCUGCCUUUAUCUGGGGGAUAGCCUUUCGAAAGGAAGAUUAAUACUCCAUAAUAUAUUGAACGGCAUCGUUUAAUAUUGAAAGCUCCGGCGGAUAGAGAUGGGCACGCGCAAGAUUAGCUAGUUGGUGAGGUAACGGCUCACCAAGGCGAUGAUCUUUAGGGGGCCUGAGAGGGUGAUCCCCCACACUGGUACUGAGACACGGACCAGACUCCUACGGGAGGCAGCAGUGAGGAAUAUUGGUCAAUGGGUGCAAGCCUGAACCAGCCAUCCCGCGUGAAGGACGACUGCCCUAUGGGUUGUAAACUUCUUUUGUAUAGGGAUAAACCUACCCUCGAGAGGGUAGCUGAAGGUACUAUACGAAUAAGCACCGGCUAACUCCGUG